UACGGAGGGUGCGAGCGUUACCCGGAUUUACUGGGUGUAAAGGGCGUGUAGGCGGCCUUUCAAGUCCGAUGCUAAAGACCGAAGCUCAACUUCGGGGGUGCGGUGGAUACUGUGAGGCUAGACGGUCGGAGAGGGUAGCGGACUUUCCGGAGUAGCGGUGGAAUGCGCAGAUACCGGAAGGAACGUCGAGAGCGAAAGCAGCUACCUGGACGCUUUGUGACGCUGAGGCGCGAAAGCGUGGGGACCAACCCGG
rnacentral:rRNA from 1 species